UUCUGUUACAAACCCAGUAAUUCCUCAAAUAACCAUAAUUAACAAUGUUGUUCAUCCUUCAAAAACCCAUAUUUUAUCUUUUCAUCAAACUCAGAACCCCUCUCUUUUCAUUCAAGUUAGAUCCAUCUCCUUUUCCUCCUCCUCCAGUAUUUUUAUUACUCAUUCCUCCAAAAAUCAGAACUCUUCAUCUUCUUCUUCAUUUGUAGUGUCUUACCUGAUGGAUUCAUGUGGAUUAUCAAUAGAUGAAGCUAUCACUGCUUCAAAAAAACUCAAUUUCAAAACCACCCUAAAACCAGAUUCAAUCCUAACCCUACUUGAAACUUAUGGAUUCACCAAACCCCACAUCUCAAAACUCAUCAAUAAAGAUCCAUCACUACUUUUAUCUAAACCUGAUAAAACCCUAAAACCAAAGCUUGCAUUUUUCAACUCUAAAGGACUUUCUGGAAUUGACCUUGCCAAGUUCAUUUCUGCAAACCCAUCAAUCUUGAAAUGUAGUUUAAAGAAUAAGAUUAUACCUUCAUUUGGAAUGCUCAAUAACAUUUGUCAGGCUGAUGAACGUGUAAUCGGUGCUGUGAAGCGGUGUUCGGUACUUCUUAGCAUUGAUUUGAAUAAAAGUAUGAUGCUGAACAUUGAGCUGUUGAGAAAUGUAGGUGUGCCUAGUGAAAAAAUCACUUGGUUUCUUGUUUCCCAGCCAAGAACGCUUACUAUUAGGCAUGUUCGGUUUACUGGAAUUGUAGAAAAGGUUAAGGAAAUGGGGUUUGAUCCUUUGGAGAGUACAUUUCUUCAUGCCCUGCAAGGGUUGACAGCAAGGAAAUCAACUUGGGAAGCAAAAUUGAAUGUGUUUAGGAGGUUGGGCUUGUCAGAAGGCGAAAUUCGCAGUGCAGUUAAGAAACAACCCAUGUGUAUGAGGGUGUCUGAGAAGAAGAUUGUGUUGAUAAUGGAUUAUCUUGUAAAUCAAAUGGGUUAUAGUGCAUUGGUUAUUACUAAAUUUCCACAAAUACUUACUUAUAGCUUGGAGAAAAGGAUUGUGCCGAGGUGUUGUGUUAGCCAGAUUUUGAUCUCCAGGGGUCUGGUUAAAUAUCAAAUUCCCCUAACUUCACUUUUAAUAAUGGCUGAGAAGGCGUUUGUGGAGAAGUUUGUGACCCAGUUUGAGAAAGAAGCUCCGGAACUAUUGCUGGUAUACCCAAGGGGCAUAUGCGGGACUCCUGAAUAGCUGACUGAGUUAAAAAUUAAGGUAUGCAUUUGGUAAUGAAUGCCCAAAACUCGUUUUGUUUAAUUUCUAAAGAUCUAGUUCAUGCAUUUUCUCUUUACAUUCAGAAUCAAGAUGAUUUUACAGCUUGUCCAAACCUGAUGAGUAACAGUGAGUUUCUCUGAUAAAUCAUCGAUGUCAUCUGCUGUAAUCAGCAAUAUUAUAAUCACUUAGCACUUGCUACUGCUCAUGUUUGGCACUUUGUGAAAAAACUUCAAAACAAGCUAGUUAAUUGGAUGGGGAACUUACUUGCUUGCAAAGUCAGAAUCACCUUAAUGAAAACAGUGGUUAUGCAGCAUUCCCAUUUACAGCAUGGCUAUUUAUAUAUGGUCUGGUAAUCCAGAAAAAAGAGAACUCUUAUCACUACUGAUGGGAAGUCUGUUUUGUACUCCUCAAGAUGAAGGUGGGUUCGGCAUUAGAGGACGUGAAGAUGUAAUGAUAAGAAAAAUCAGUGGAUCAAAUGUUAUAGGUAGUCUUCCAGUUGGCCUGGGCUGGGCUAAAGUGGGGUACUUCAGGAUUUGGCAGCUGACAUAGUGGGGAACGGUACCAGAAUCUUUGUUUGGAGAUGCAAUCAUUGAUUUGUUUCCUGAUGGCACAAAAUUUGCAGGAGUCUCACUCAGGUCAGGCCGGGUUUUCUUGUCAGCAUUUAAUGUCGAGAUAGAGCAUACUUUAUAAACGAGCGGUUAAACAAUGGCGAG